GUGUUACGGCGUGCAGAGAAAAAUGUGCUUGAUCAAAGAAAGCAGCAUUUAGAUAAAGAGCUCCCUCUGGGAGAGGGCUUGGGUCAGAAGAAGGUGGUGGCUUCUGGCAGGGCAGGCUGGGCUCCUGACAUCCCAGGUCUCGUGGGGCAGAGAUCUGAACCUCGGCUGAGGAAGUUCCCUGGUGAAGGGUGGCUGCAGGGGCUACUAGGCAGGCAAGACAAUGGUGGGAGCUUCAGUUGCUCAGAAGUUAAGCCCUGGGGGAAGGAGGAUAUAUCACGGAAGGAGAAAGCUCGGAGGAGAAGUGGGGCAUUUAUUUGUGGCAGCGCAGCUGUCCUGGACCCGCUGCGUUGCCCAGCGGGGGGGGGGGGGUGUCUCCUCCGAGCCCCUCUGAGCAGAGCUGCGCAAGGGGGUGGCUGUGGUACCACCAGAGCCGAGCGAAGGCUCCCUCGGCAAUGUUUUUUGCCUGGUGCUCUGACCUCGUUCAGAGGCUUUGCAGCAGACCUCGGAAACAAACAUCAGACCCAAGCCAGAUUUCAGUCUUCUCUGGGAACGCGGCUUAUAGCUGAAACAGAUCUACUCCCCCUUGAAAGGCCUGUGCGAGGGGUGGCUGCCUGGAACGCAUCCUCACUGCCAUUUGCGUGGCUGCUGUGGUGCUGUGGCAGUGUUGGAGCUCAGAGGGAUCUUCUGGCUUCACGAGUGAAAUCCUCCCCCGUGGCUGAGCUUAAAGGGGGUAUCUGUGGUGUGUGGGGCCUGGGGGAGGCCCAAAGCAGCAGGUUUUGUGUGAACGCCCGCUGGGCAGGGUGGCAGCUCGCUCCUUCCCGGCGUGGGUUCGGUGUGUGGGGAGCUCUGGGCUGCCCACCCCACAGGGCGUGCUGGUAUCGGCUGUGUCUCGGCAGGCAGAGCCUGGGCAGCGAAGCCGUGUCUGCAGGAAGGUCCACGUACGUCCCCCUGCUGCUGCCCGGGCUGUGGCUCUCCUUGAUCCCACCCAAAUCCCCUGCUGCUGUAGCACAAGUGUCCGAAACGGUCAGCAUUGGUGUGUUUCUCCUGGUUCUAGGAAUAACGUCACGCAUCUAA
rnacentral:lncRNA from 1 species